CUCCCAUCUUGUGAGCUGUUGAGGGAGAACAACCACAGGCUACAGAGGGAAAAUGAUUCUCUCAAGGCAAAAAUAGCAACAUUGAAAUUGCUGCCAGACGUUUUGCAGAAGAUGGAGGAGUUUCUUCGCUCAGCACCAAGACCAACGACAACACCAAUACCAACACCAACACCAAGACCAAGACCAAGACCAAGACCAGAACCAACACUAUCACCAGCACCAACAGCAGUUCCACCACCAGCAACAGAAGACCCAUCACCAGCUCCAGGUCCAUCAUCAGCAACAGAGGCCCUGGGCCACUCUGUCAUUCCAAAAGGACUUGUGGACGCUGCUCCUUCCAAAGCCCCCAGAAGUUCAUAAAUCAUCUCCUACAUGGGAUGUAUACCAGGGAUUAUAUGGCAGGCCAUUCAGUGACUGGCCAGUCAUCCAGCAGCUGCACAGAAGGAAAACCUGGCCUAGCCAAACAGGACCUUGUUGAAAUAACAAAUGCUGCAAAGUUGAAGUUCACCUACGUAACUGAUACGAACAUAAAAGCAUUUAUACGACAAAAGCUGAACAAUGCUGCCAAAUUUCAGAAACAAUAAAUUAUCAACUGUUUAAAGAAAGUUAAA